AUUGAACGCUGGCGGCAGGCCUAACACAUGCAAGUCGAGCGAGCGGCGGACGGGUGAGUAAUGCCUAGGAAUCUGCCUGGUAGUAGUGGAUAACGUCCGGAAACGGGCGCUAAUACCGCAUACCAUCAGAUGUGCCCAGAUGGGAUUAGCUUUUUGGUGGGGUAACGGGUCACCAAGGCGACGAUCCCUAUCUGGUCUGAGAGGAUGACCAGCCACACUGGCACUGAGACACGGUCCAGACUCCUACGAGAGGCAGCAGUGGGGAAUAUGGCACAAUGGGCGCAAGCCGUAUGCAGCCAUGCGGCGUGUAUGAAGAGGGCCUUCGGGUUGUAAAGUACUUUCAGCGGGGAGGCGUUACCCGCAGAAGGAGCACCGGCUAACUCCGUGCCAGCAGCCGCGGUAAUAC
rnacentral:rRNA from 1 species